AUUGAACGCUGGCGGCAGGCCUAACACAUGCAAGUCGAACGAGCGACGGACGGGUGAGUAAGGUAGGGGUACUUCGCGAUAGCGGGGGAUGACGGCUGGAAACGGUGGCUAAUACCGCAUAGUGUCGGAUCACGCAUAUGGGAUUAGCUAGUAGGUAAGGUAAUGGCUUACCUAGGCGACGAUCCCUAGCUGGUCUGAGAGGAUGAGCAGCCACACUGGGACUGAGACACGGCCCAGACUCCUACGGAGGCAGCAGUGGGGAAUAUUGCACAAUGGGCGCAACCCUGACGCAGCCAUGCCGCGUGAAUGAAGAAGGCCCUAGGGUUGUAAAGUACUUUCAGUCGCGAGGCGUUACCGACAGAAGAAGCACCGGCUAACUCCGUGCCAGCAGCCGCGGUAAUAC
rnacentral:rRNA from 1 species